CUGUGCACGUCAGAGAAGGAAGACAGAGACCGCGCUUGUUUGAAAUCAAAAGGGGUCGCGGUAGCUUUUGAUGAAGAUUAUCAUCAAGACGAAGCAGCUGCAUUAUAAGUGGGAUGCACUGUUGACCGCAACAUCCCGAGGCGUUCGUGCUGAUUGUACGGAGAUUGUGACAGCGGGUUAAAUGGCGUCCCUUGAGAAAGCAAGAACAAGAGAUGUCAGGAGAAGUGCAGUAUUACAUAAGGAGAUGUAUACUUGGAAAAAUGGAUAUGGUUUGUUAAAGAAGAAUGGUAGAAAGUGUAAACUGAGUGAGCUGAAGACCGAAGGAGAAAUGGAAGUGUAUGAGGGUGAAGUAUUGGAGAUGGUAGGUGUGGUGAAGUUCUCGGAGCCUGAGGCUUGCACCGAGGGUCAGGAUAAAAAUGAGUCUGUGACAGUAGGAGUGCAGUUUUUGGAAAAAGAGGACCCCUGCCUUUUGGCUGAUCCAUUUGUGGUUUCAGGGUGGGUGAAAACAGAAUUGUGUACUGUGGAAUCGGUGAGGGUAACCAGAAGUGGUCUAGUGAUAAUUGUUUGUGUUUCUGCUGGUCAGAGGGAGAAGGCGCUCAGUGUUAAACGAAUGUGGGCAAGAAAUGUGAAUUGUUUCGCUCUCAAGAAAAGGGUGCCAUUGAAAAUAGUGGCUACUACGGUAGCAGUAAAUGUAAAAGUUGACAAAAUAAAGGGGAACAUUCUCGGUGUGUGUAAUGCUCGUCGCUGGGUGUGAUGCAGAAAGGGUGGUGAGAGUGGUGAAACAGAAGUCAUUGUCUGUUUUAAGUUUUGUUGUUUUUGCCCGACAAAGUGAUGUUAGGAUAUAUAAGUUAUCCUGUACGAGCUUUUGUACCGAAAACAUGACAUUGUUACAUGUCAAGUUUAUGGGCAUGUGGCAGCAGUGUGUAGGAGGGAGGGUCCAAGGUGUGACAAAUGUACAGAAGGGCAUGAGACAAAGGAAUGUGUAGCAUUGAGGAAAGUAGUGGAAUGUGUUAAUUGUAGGGGUACCCGUGGAGCUGGGGAUCAGAAAUGUCUGGUGCGAGAGGGGGUUGAGGUUUCCAGGGUUAGAGUAGUGCAGGAGUUGUCAUAUCCUGAUGCAGUGAAGGAAGUGGAGUGAUCCUGUGAGGAGUAGUGUGCAUGGUAGAUCUGUACCAUUACAGAGGGAUAGGCCAACAAGUGAUGUUUCAGUAAGAUUGGAUGUUUAGCAUUUAUAGCAAUGGUUAUCAACUGUACUGCAGGGAUGGAACAUAAGUCACAGUGCGUAUGAACAUACAGCGUUAACUAGGGAAUAUCAUUUCUCCAAGUCGGGACCACUGCAUUUUCUAGUGUAAUUUGGAGUUGUGUGCAGAAUUUUAAGAACCCCUUAAUUAGGCAAUCUAUUGGAAGUGUAAUGGUUGCUUCAUAGGUCUCUAAUCUCUUUUAAUGGUUUUAAUAUAAAAAGAUGUACAAAGACACACGCUUGAACUUUUACUUGAAAGCAUUUCACUUGAAAGCAUUUCACUGUGUUUAAUUUGUCACUCGGGAUGUUGGCUUACUUUAUUUGUGCAACGUUUAACAGUUGAUUAGUAUAUUUGUCAUUUCCACUUGACUAAGACUGAGCCUACUAUUAAAUGCAUUACAUUUUUCCACAGGUUCCCAUUUCAUGACAAGCCCAGGCUACAGCAGUGGGUAGCACCUGUCAGGCGGAUGAAUUGGAAACCAACCCAACACUCUUGUCUCUGCCCAUCACUUUGAAGAUCAGUGUUUUUGGGAUGAUGACAAGGGAAAGGUCAGCCUCACUGCUUCUGCUUGUGCCCAUUAUUUUCUCCCCUGGUUGUCUUCAAAAGUGGUCACAAUGCCCCAGGGAAAGAUCAAGGAAUACAGUAGGUACAGAGGGGGAGAGUCUCCGCCAAGAAUUUACGACCUGAGAUAACAGAACCUGGGUGUAGGAGUCAGAGGGGGAAGCCACGAUCUACACCCAGAAAGGGCCACAUGACAACUGUGAUGCUGGAUGUGCAUGAUGACACCAGUGGUGUGUCAGAUGUAGACCUACAUCACAAUGACAUAGCUGUGAUAGUGGAUGCCGGCUGCUGCUGAUUCUUUGCUUCUCACUAGGCGAUGUUGCCACACCUCAGCUGAGCAGAGGAUCCAAUAUGACAAACCAUGCAGUAAUUUCUCAAUGGUACAGCUUCUUGGUUAAAUACAAAGGUUCUCUUUCAUUUUCUCCUCUACAUUUGGAUUGACAAUGGUGCUUGUGUGCAUCUAAUAUAUUUUAUGAGCUUUGAUUAGAAGCAUAACCAAACGGCUUUAGAAGUAUAACACAGAAACUAUAGAUAACGUUAUCCAGAAAUCUUACAUACUGUUUUCUGAAAGUUAUUUUAAAACUGCAAAUCCCUAUCCUAAAGAAAAUUAUCCAACUUGUAACUUUGAUUUGGACUAUCGGUUUCUGUCAAAACACCCACACUGAUGAAAGUGAUAUUGUGGAAAGCCUAGAUAUGGAACCGCUUGGAUGAUAUCAGUCUUUGGGCAAGGCAUCAUGAAGUUAAAUCAUGUCCUCUGCCUCUCACUCCUCUGUCACUUCUCUCCUCUACACGUGGUCAUUGCUUCAGCACGUGGACAUUGCGGUCCUCCUGAUCAAGUUCAAAUGAAGUGUAUUCUCUGAUUCUCAACACAAGUAAAAGAGGUCUCAUACAGUGAGUAUACCAAACAUUAGGAAGAACUUCCUAAUAAGAAGAACAGCCUCAAUUCAUUGGGGCAUGGACUCUACAAGGUGUCAAGUGUUCCACAGGGAUGCUGGCCCAUGUUGAUGCCCAUGUUGAUGCCAAUGCUUCCCACAAUCCUUCUUUAACAUGUCUCCGCCCUUCCUCUACAAUGAUUGAAGUGGAAGGGCGGAGACAAGUGACAUCAAUAACGGAUCAUAACAUUCACCUGGUCGGUCAGUCUCAUGGAAAGAGCAAAUCAAAUUUAACAUGUCACAUGUGCCGAAUACAAAAUUUGUAGACGUUACCAUGAAAUGCUUACUUACAAGCCCUUAAACCAACAAUUCAGUUCAAGAAAGAGUUAAUAAAAUAUUUAAAUAAAGUAAAAAUAAUUCAAUCAAUCAAAAAGUAACACAACAAAUGUGUAUAACAAUAAUGAGGCUAUAUACAGGGGGUACCGGUACAGAGUCAAUGUGCCGGGAUACAGGUUAGGUGUUCUUAAUGUUUUGUAUACUUGUUUUGCUCAUAAUGGUAGCUGUAUGCAUGUGUUCUCUCUUUUCUAGUUGCACAACUAAGUUUCUGACUUACAAUGACAGUCUGCUCACUAUAAUUCCCAUCCAAUAUAUUUUUACAUGCAUGUCUGGGGAAACCCCUUAUCACCCAGUAACUCCUCCUUCAGGCUGAUGAUAUCCAUGCCCUGUUGGACACCUAUGUCCCCAGAUGCAGAGAAGAAGGAUCACCAGCUCAGCUCAUCACUGUCUAAUUUCUGGUGGGGAAAAUGGACAUUGCUCAACCUGCGCUUGAUUUGGCCCAUUUGCUACCCAGCCAAACAGAUUAACAUUUUAAUGCAUAAAUCCUUUAGCUUUUGCAUUGUAAAAUUGUGUGUCUCUUAAAAGCUGGCUGGUUAUUAAACAGUUUUAUAUCUUCUCAAUUAGUUAAGUUAUUACAUAUGAAAAGAAUAGCUGUGGAUUUUUCCACUAUUAUUGCUUUGUGACUCUCCGACCAAUCUCUAAUCAUAUCCUGUAGUCCUGUGAAGUGGAGUCCCCCCCCCCCCACCCCCCCCCCAUCAAUCCCUCAGGGGUCCAAUGUUAAGUCAAACUCCAAUCUCUUAUAAACUGUGCUGAACUGAUACAGUGAACCAGCUGAAGUCGGUAUGUAAACUGACACCAAUGGAGGUCUUGGCGCUAUUUGUGUAAAACAAGAAAGAAAACAAGUAGGCAGACAGUACAAGUCAACUUUAUUGAACUAUUUACAAAACAUAAGUAGGAGCAGAUUAGAAUAUCGUUUACAUCAGGAUGCACAACCUUCUACUUCUGUAAGGAGUUCAUUAUUUUGCCAUUCUUACUAUGUUGAAGCACUUGAUGAUUGUUUUUGAAUAACAGGACAGAAAUAAAGUACCUCAUGCUAAAAAGAGAAGUCAGAGAUCUCUUGGCAGGGGUUAGAAAGGAUAGACCCAGCAAAAUGUAUAUCUGUCAUAACUCACAAUGUCAGUGGCUCUGUAAAUACAUAAUGUUGUGACUUGUAGAAUCCUGGAGUUGGAAUAAUAUAUUACUUGUACAUAACGCUGCUUUUAUCAUACUGUCUCAUUUAGAAUGUGUAAAUGCAGCUUUACUGAUUAAUUGUCAAAUAAUAACGGCAUAACUUUUGCAAAAACUUAUUUCACCAACUUUUCAUUUUGUAACAAGUGGCAUGUUGUGUUGAGUAGAAAAUAUACAACUGCUAGGUCUCCUGAGGUGCACAUGUUGCGCUAACUAGAGCACGUAUGAUUUAGUCCUCAAUAAGUUACGUGCACACAACUGCAUACACAGAAUUACCUUUCAUGGUUGGAGUGGUUGUGGUGCCUGCAGAUUUCCCGUUCCCCAAUGGUGAUGGUGCAAAAGCAGAUUUCCCCUCCCGAAACUAGUUGCAGCCAUGCAGAUCCACGUCCCUGGCAACAUUGGCAGAGUGCCCAAAAACUAUACCGCACUGGUGGAGUGGAGUAGUCCUAGAAAAACUGGAACUAGCAAUAUGGCAGCAGCCACGAAAUGGUCGUUGCCACAAAGUCAGAAGGCAUACCUACUUGACCAAUCAGAUGAGGGAGUAUAAUGAUGUGUAUGCCAGCCCAGAAGGCUCGCCUACACGACCAAUCAGAUGAGGAAGUAUGAUUCCUACUCUAUGCCGGUUUGUGGGAAAUACCUACUUAUUGAGUUAAAAAAAAACAAAUCUCCCAUUCCACCUGAUUACAUAUGUGGCGUGCCACAUUCACCAUAUGAAUGGUGUGAUUGGUAAAAUGAUGUCCACCUUUUAAUGGGGUGAUUGUUGUCUAAUCUGGUGCCCAUUCAAUGGUGUUCUGUUUCAAGUUGCGGGACUUGUAAGAAUGCCACCUGGGGAAAGGCAGACAAACAAAAGACAAAGAGAAAUAUCCUGCUGAAAAAGGCAGUAAGUUCAAAGGCUGAUCACUGGAAUUUAAACCAUACACUUUUACAACAUCAAUUUUGAAUUCCCAACUAACAAUGGAAUGUUCCUCAAUAAAACCGUAAAAGCCUUGGUUUCAUGCCUGUUAA